GUAAUUAUAGCCAUUAGGUAGUUGUAGUAGUUUUCUUAGUAGUAGAAGUUAGGUAGUUGUUGUAGUUUUCUUAGUAGUAGUAGUUAGAUAGUUGUUGUAGUUUUCUUAGUAGUAGAAGUUAGGUAGUUGUUGUAGUUUUCUUAGCAGUAGAAGUUAGGUAGUUGUUGUAGUUUUCUUAGUAGUAGUAGUUAGGUAGUUGUUGUAGGUUUCUUAGUAGUAGAAGUUAGGUAGUUGUUGUAGUUUUCUUAGUAGUAGAAGUUAGGUAGUUGUUGUAGUUUUCUUAGUAGUAGAAGUUAUUGUAGAUUUCUUAGUAGUAGUAGUUAGGUAGUUGUUGUCUUAGUAGUAGAAGUUAGGUAGUUGUUGUAGUUUUCUUAGUAGUAGAAGUUAGGUAGUUGUUGUAGGUUUCUUAGUAGUAGUAGUUAGGUAGUUGUUGUCUUAGUAGUAAUUGUUGUUGUUGUUGUUGUCGUCGUAGUAGUAAUAGUAGUAGUAAAAGCAUAUUUUUACACUGCACACUAAGUAAAAAUACCUAGCAUGCAUUCCAAUCCAAGAGGCUUAGAUUCUUAUCAGUCUGCACCAUACAUUAGAACUCACCAGAAACAACAAGACGGUGCAACAUUCCAAGACAUUUA